rnacentral:rRNA from 1 species
ACGGAGGGUGCGAGCGUUAAUCGGAAUCACUGGGCGUAAAGCGCACGUAGGCGGUGUCGUAAGUCGGAUGUGAAAGCCCUCGGCUCAACCGGGGAACUGCAUUCGAUACUGCGAAGCUUGAGUGCCGGAGAGGGAAGUGGAAUUCCAGGUGUAGAAGUGAAAGUCGUAGAUAUCUGGAGGAACACCAGUGGCGAAGGCGACCUCCUGGCCGGAUACUGACGCUGAGGUGCGAGAGCGUGGGGAUCAAACAG